rnacentral:misc_RNA from 1 species
UCACAAUUAACCCAGCAGCGUAAGCCUCGAGCUCUGCUUUAUCAAGUUAUUUUGCUUAUGUGACAAAAUAUGUUGUUUAACAUUGGUCAAAAGGACCAAUUUCAUUCAAAAGCGAUACCGUACAUGUAAGAAUGGUAAUGAAAAGAACUCUCUAAACAUAGCAUCCAUUUAAUCAAAUUGGGUGAGAACCUAGUAAGUUGCAAGAACUUGUGUUCGAACCCUUUGUUUAUUAUAUAUACAAUAAAAAUGUUCAAACCAAUCAAAUGGGAAAUCAACAGAUUACAGAUAUUUCAUUAAGGUUUAUCAUAUUUACUUUAAAUAAAUGAAAAAAAACAUCUUGAUAGUCUAUAAAUUAUUACUUUUAGUGUCUUAAUUUACACAGUUGUAACGCUCACCAAGAGGCAAAUGAAGCGGGCACCUGUGAAUGCAUAGACUACUGCAAGAACACAGCCCUCUGCCACAAUGGGGGCACGUGUCAACUGAACUGUACAGAUGGUUCAGAGCGGGGCUAUUCCUGCCAGUGCCCCUCGGGGUACAGUGACUGGGAUUGCAGUGAGGUAGUGGUGGUCACAUCCUCCCCCAUCACAAACAACGAAGACAACAACACGUGGCUAAUUGUGUUACUGGUGUGCCUCGCUGCAUGUGAGUAUCCAACUAACAUUCUUGAACAUAUAUGUACACUGCCACGGAUCCAACUCUGAUGGGCACAGGCUCGUGUGUCAGCCAUAAAGUUAACCCAUUUACAUACAUUGUAAUUAUUUCAGCACCGGGUAAAUUUUAUUGCAGAAACAAGUGCAUAUAUGGUUUGCUUGAGAUCAGCGUCAUUUUCAACGUUUUGAUGCAAGAGCCAUGUAUCGGAUAUCUAAGCUAGGUCAUAGAAAUGGCUCAUUUUUCAAAGACAUAAAAAUCAUCGAUAGAACGAAAGCGAAAUUAAAGAAAAAAGUUUUUUAUGAUUUGAGUAACGUAAUGCUUGCUUUUUGUUGCUUAGAUUAAUAGUUUAACGAUCAGUUUGAUGAUCUCAAAAUUGUCGUCUGCUCUAUUUCAGUGAUGGCAGUGGUCAUUCUUAUCGUGGCCUUUUUGGUCAUGAGACGGAAAAGAAUGGACAAGGAUAAAAGCAUGUUUGCAUACGACAAUGAUGACUAUGACAUCAGAGAAGACGUCAUGGAUUACGACGAAGAUGGUGCAGGGGAGGAUGACUAUGCUGGCUAUGAUAUCUCAGUCAUCAGAAAACCUGUGAAUGCUAGAGAAGGCACAAUCAUACCUAAAUCUAGGACAACAUCAGACAAACCAAAUACCUCGUCCGGACCAAGCACGGGUCACAUCGGAGAUUUCAUCAACGAGCGGCUGGGAGACGCCGAGGGGGAGAGCGGUGCCCCUCCCUACGACACUCUGCACGAGUUUAUGUACGAGGGUGAGGGAAGCCUGGCCGGCUCCCUCAGCUCCAUCAACACGUCAUCGAGCGGAGGGAGUCAGGACUACGAGUACCUCCAGGAAUGGGGGCCGAAAUUUGCCAAGCUUGCCGAUAUGUACAAUACAUAUGAGGAUUCUGAUUGACACAUAUCAACUAGAAUAUCACGUUACCAGUGCAAAUCAUUUACUAGCAUCAUCAUGUCGAUAUUUUUGUUUCAUAUUUAGUAAUUCUCUGUUUUGGAUUUCAGCGUCUGCAUCAUCAUUUCAUAUUUUAAUUCAUUAAUAUUUAAUCAUACUAGUAUUGUAUUGACUAGUUUUUUGUCAACUGCUUCUUUUAAAUUAAAAUGCUGAUGAAUUUGGUGCCAUAACAAUCCAUAAGUGUAUAUGUGUGAAGUGUAAUGAUAAUUUUAUUAUAGUUUUUUUUAUAAACAAAAAUGAUUUCUAUAAACUGCAUGCUACCCUUUUUGUCUCGGAAUAUUAUUUUUAAUUGGUUCGGCUAUGUUAUACCGUAAUUUUGCGGGGAAAACAAUUUCCUCCAGAAAUGUGAAGUCACCACUUUACAGAUGCUGAUAUUUUGUCAAAUAAAAUACAUAAUAAACACGUGUAUCUGU